GCGGGAUUCAAGCAGGAGUUAGGCGCUGGGGGGGCCCAGGGGCUCCGUCCGAUGCGCGCUAGGCGCAGGGGUGAGACGCUAAUCCAGCAAGCGUCGGCUGUCGCUGACGGGCGCCCUCGCUUAAUGACACAUCCGCCCGCUGGGCAGCGGUUAGGAACCGGGACAGGACGGGCCGGGCCGGGCCGGGCCGGGCGUUGUGUGAGUUGUGGAAGGACGUCUUGAAAAAUGGAAGGAGCUCUCUCUAACUCAUCGCACGUGUGCAGCCUUUGCAUGGAGCGCAUUUCCAGUGGGUCAUUGGAAGUACCAAAGAGGCAUCUGAGGAGUUGUUUUGUUUGUUUGUUUUAUUAUAUCUUUUGCUGCUGUUGUGUCACAGAAGGAAAGUCUGGGAAUCUGAACAAAUCCCAAAUGAUGAUGCCAUCUGUAGCUAGGAUGUCUAACACCAUAUAAAAUACAGAACCACAUUUGUCUGCACGGAAUGGGGCCUUGAGACUAUCAGUUUGCUGUUUGCCUGAUGAUGAACGAAGUUAGUAGCAAUAACUUCUGGUCACUACCUGCUUCUAUUGGUCUGACCCACUCUGAGUUUGAAGACCUUCCAGGCAUCCCCAAAAAGCCACUUGUGUGGCUGCAAUCAAGCAGAUUGAGACAGGAAGAUGGAUGAGAUGGCUCUGGCAGUCGGUAUGUUUCUAGAGCAUUUCCAUUUGUACGGUUACCCAGCUGAAGUAAGAUGUUACUUCCUUUUUUUUUUUUUUUUUAUGGCUGCUUGGUGGAGUUUAUUUGAGUACUGUUAUUUUUUCCACUGGUCAGUUUACUUUAAUUAAUUUCAGAGAGCUCAGACCUUUUUAAAUGAGCACACUUCCCCCCCCCCCCCCCCCCAUUGGUAAAUCCAGCUAAAACAGCCUAGAAUGAAUUGGAGCAUUGGCCUAGGAAGGAAGGGCUUCACAGCCCAUUACUGAUCCCCUGAGCCAUCUCAUCCCCUUGACUGCCAUGUAAUGUUUGUUUAAUGCAAAAUUUCCAUAUAGAACAAAAUAAAACCCAAAAAGCAGGACA
rnacentral:lncRNA from 1 species